AUUGAACGCUGGCGGCAGGCCUAACACAUGCAAGUCGAGCGGAUGAAGGGAGCUUGCUCCUGGAUUCAGCGGCGGACGGGUGAGUAAUGCCUAGGAAUCUGCCUGGUAGUGGGGGAUAACGUCCGGAAACGGGCGCUAAUACCGCAUACGUCCUGAGGGAGAAAGUGGGGGAUCUUCGGACCUCACGCUAUCAGAUGAGCCUAGGUCGGAUUAGCUAGUUGGUGGGGUAAAGGCCUACCAAGGCGACGAUCCGCAACUGGUCUGAGAGGAUGAUCAGUCACACUGGAACUGAGACACGGUCCAGACUCCUACGGGAGGCAGCAGUGGGGAAUAUUGGACAAUGGGCGAAAGCCUGAUCCAGCCAUGCCGCGUGUGUGAAGAAGGUCUUCGGAUUGUAAAGCACGUUAAGUUGGGAGGAAGGGCAGUAAGUUAAUACCUUGCUGUUUUGACGUUACCAACAGAAUAAGCACCGGCUAACUUCGUG
rnacentral:rRNA from 1 species